UUCCUGUGAUGAGUUUGCCAUGCUAAUACCGAUGCACCAGUCUGACUGGGUGUAAAUGAGUUCAGCUCACACUCGGUGUGCUCUGAGGAAA